rnacentral:rRNA from 1 species
CAGUAGCCGCGGUAAUACGAAGGGGGCUAGCGUUGCUCGGAAUGACUGGGCGUAAAGGGCGCGUAGGCGGAUUGUACAGUCAGACGUGAAAUUCCUGGGCUCAACCUGGGGACUGCGUUUGAGACGUGCGAUCUAGAGUUUGGAAGAGGGUCGUGGAAUUCCCAGUGUAGAGGUGAAAUUCGUAGAUAUUGGGAAGAACACCGGUGGCGAAGGCGGCGACCUGGUCCAUUACUGACGCUGAGGCGCGACAGCGUGGGGAGCAAACAGGAUUAGAUACCCCUGUAGUCCCUGUCUCUUAUAC